CAGUCGAGCCAUGGCCGAGGCACCGACCGGAAGCGCCGUUCCUCCCGCCCCGACGCGGUCGCGAUGGUAACCGGGCCCCGCGAGGUACGCUGCCUGGCUCUACUUACUCCCGGCCCUUUUGUUCUGUAGCCGGACGCGCGUGGCGAGGGGCUGGGAGCGGCGUUAGGGGAGCAGCAGAUCUGGAAAUGGAGGUAACUAUGCCUGAAAGAAGUGAGAGCUUAUUAAAGAGGUUUGCUUGGAGUGCAAUUCAAACUCACUGGGAAGACAGCAAAACCACCAAGAAUCGGCUCAUGCUGAGGUGUUGCCACUGAACAUUCUGGAGUGUCCUGGAUACCAGAGGAAGAGGAGACCGUGGUGACUGAGGUACCUGUGUUGACAGAGCCUAGGGAAGAGGUGGGGCACUGACUCGUCCCCAGUUCCUCCUUCAUCCUCCAAUGCAUGCGAUGUCACCAGGGCAUCUGUCCUUCUCUAGGCUGGGGGCUCCCUGAUCGUUUCCUUGGUCCUGAGGCUUAGAAGGACAAGUGCAGUCAGACUACAACCUGGUCCUCACACUUUUUCCCUAAGAUGUCGAUGUUAUUAUUUUACUAUGUUAUAAGUGGUAACAGGUUGGGGACAGCAACUCCGAUCUGAGAGCAGCUCGUUUUAACAUAGUGCUGGCUCUUGCCCCAUCCUCACCAAAGCCAGAUGUUUCCCCAUCAGGGUCUUCCCAUCGUAGCCAGGCUCUCAGUACCCUGGAGUCCUCUGCGCCAUUUUUAUCUGGGCUACUCUGGUUUACUCUUUUCUUUCUUUUCUUUUUUUUGGUACCAGGGAUCGAAUUUGUGUCCUUGCACUUGCACAGCAGGUGGCAAAACCACUGAGCUAAAUCCCCAGCCCUAUCUGGGCUACUCUGGUCUCCUGAUACAAAGACUUCCCUCCUUCAUCUUGUCUAUAUUUUCUUCCUUCUCUAACCAAGUAACAGCUAUUCUUCACAACCUUCAAGUUUUAAGUACUUUCAUCAAGUACUUACAUUCCAACCACCAUUGCAUUGCCAUCUGUGGCCCUGGAAGACCCUUUUAAUUCAUUCACAAAACAUUCCCUCUCUUCCUCUCAAAAUUGCUACCUAAAUUUGGUUUCCAUCUUGUCCCAGUGCAGUACCACUUGGAAUCAAGUCAUUUAAGAUCCCCAGGUCAAAGAAAGGUCAAGGAGUUAGAAAAUUAUGGAAAGUCAUAUUUUAAAUUUCGAAGAUCUGAAGGGCCUGAUGGGAUGGGUCCAAAAUAUAAGGAGGCCAAUACCCCUUCCAUCAGUCCCCAGUGAACCUGGCUGAGUUCCGAAAGAGUGCCUCGAGAGAGUGGCCAUGGCCCAGUAGCCACCUCUACCAUUAGUGCAGAUUUUUGGGGUCCUUCCCUCAGAAAUAUUUUUCCUACUGAAGUGGGAAAUAGAAUUGAA